GCACUACUGCAUUUUCUGCCUUCAGGUGCCGGUAAACUCCUCUUGCAUUGUUUGUAGUUUAUUUCACUGUAUUCAAUGUUCCUUUUGUCUACAUGGAUGCGUCAUGCGUGUAGCCAUGUAAACAAGCAAUAGGCUCUGUGUAAAACUCUCUAAGAUUUUGUUAAGUUGGAUUAGCCCAAAAUUCUGGGUCUUUGAGUUCAGCUGACAAAUAAGUAAGCGGUUCCCUUGCAGCUUUCACCCAGCUUGAACAUGGGUUUGAUCAAGUUGAUUCAUCAGGUAAAGAAAUCACAAGUUCCAAGUCCCAUGCGUCAUAACUAGCCCACCUUUGAGGAACAGCUAGCACAGGUGUUCUGGGCUAUGUUUAAUAUCAGCAAGUACUGUGCUGCUGUUUUAGAAAUUUGGCCAGAGAGAGUCAGAAGAAUGACCUCUUAAUUGAGGAACUAAUCAACAUCUAAAGCAGAAAUAUGGCUGCCUGAUUUGCUUAUAGAUAAAAUGAAGUAUGCAUGCUCAUCUCAUCUAGAUAUGUGGAACUUAUGUGCAUUAAUCUAAAAGUGGCA
rnacentral:misc_RNA from 1 species